GUGAGAUAAGGGCAAACCGGAGCAAUCCGGCGACUCAAAGCCACGGGUCCCCUGCAGCGGGGACAGCCGGGUUACCGAA
rnacentral:ncRNA from 1 species